AGAAUGCAUCAGUGGAGCAUCUCUAUGACGACUAUAAGCUCACUUGUUGGGAGCUGUGUGUGUGUGUUAACCGCUGCCCCGAAAUUGCCUAUGUAGCAGCAGGGGUGUGUGUGUGUGUGUGUGUGUGUGUGUGUGUGUGUGUGUGUGUGUGUGUAGCUAUGGUGUGUGUUCCCUGCAUCCCCAGAAUGGCGUGUGUGCACAGCGUGCGUUCUCCUCUAGAAUGUAAGAACUCAGAGACGGAGAUUUUCCGAGUGAAAUCCAGAUGCGAGGGACUCAGUCCACUCAGAGGAAACACUGACCAAUGGCAGUCCAUGUGACGCUUGAGAGGAACGAGUGACUAGAAGAAUAAAUAAAUAAACAACUAAAUAAGCUAAAGGACCCAAACCACAGGUGAGGUGGAGCGUCACCACAGCGCAACCACAGGUGAGGUGGAGCGUCUCCACACAGCGCAACCACAGGUGAGGUGGAGCGUCUCCACACAGCGCAACCACAGGUGAGAUGGAGCGUCUCCACACAGCGCAACCACAGGUGAGGUGGAGCGUCACCACAGGUGAGGUGGAGCAACUUAAAGGCCAGAGACGUUCCAACAGCGGCGACACACCGUCACGCCGGAUCUCUCUGGAACCAUAGGGUAGAACGGUUCUGCCCAUUUUAAAAGACUUUGAACCGACCUGUCAUGGAACGACAGGUGUAUAUAUAUUUCCUUCUAAUUUAUGGGCCGACCGACCUUGGAGCGUGUUUUAGAUUGUAUUUGUUCUUUAAAUACUGCAGUACUUGCCAUCUGUACAUGUUCGUCUUCACAUGUUAAACAAUUAUGUUUCCUAUAUUGUUUUUUUAUGGAUUGUACAUGAACUGCUGUGCUUGUGCUAAGUUAUGUUGACACAAAGUGUCACUUGUGAAUGUUCUCAAGAUCACAACAAAUCUUCAGUUCUCAUAUUGACCGGGUAACGCCCCUUAAAUACAGAGUUAGAGUCUUUACUACAGGGGGGCCACUGCGUAAAGAUAGUUAAUGACUUAACUAGUCGGGGACAUCACUUUAAAGAUAGUUAAUGACUUAACUAGUCGGGGGACAUCACUUUAAAGAUAGUCAGUGACUUAACUAGUCGGGGGACAUCACUUUAAAGAUAGUCAGUGACUUAACUAGUGAGGGACAUCAUCUUAAAGUUAAGAGUCAAUAACUUAUUUGCCAUCUACCCUAGAGAUAGACAAGAGGAUAUACAGUAUAUCCUUCUCUUCUCUAUGAGUGCAAUAACCAGUUAGCCUACAGUUAGCCUAUGGCUGAAAGGCUACCUGGCCUAACCCACUUCCAGUGAGUUAUGCUACGCUAUGCUAAUGGUGUCAGACUGAGUUAUUGCGCUCACAAAGAAGAGAAGGAUAUGUGUCCUCUAAUCUAACUCUAGGGUAGACAGCACAUAAGCUUAUUUCCCAAAAGGUGGCGUCCUUUACUGUAGAGGGAACCUCGUCUUCAGUGACUCCCAAAAGGUGACCUGCUCCUUUACUGUAGUCUUUAGUGACUGGCCGACUCUCAUUCUCCCAAUCCACCUCUUCACUUGAGGGUUCUCUCCACAGCCCCUCCUCUCCCAAAAUAUGGAGUCUGCACAUGUGGUUGCACGACAGGGAUAGGAUGAGUUUCUGAAAGUGAUUGGUUGGAUGCUCGUACUCCGUUACUAUUUUUUUUUUGGCCCCCGACACCCCGCUCUCUGCUGAAAGCUUUUGAAAUGUGUGUACUUUGUAGUGUGUGACAAAGAUGUCCUGCACUGAAACCAUUGAGGCUACCUUUACGUCUGAGACACACACACACACACACACACAGCAGCAACAGAGCAUCUCCUUGCGUCCAGAGACGGACCUCUUUGUUUAGAAGUCAUCUUGAUCUCAUACCUUUGCCAGGAAGAAAUUGGUCAAAUCACAGACGAUGACUGGAGUUUUUGAAGUUUACGUGGGUGUGUACGACUGCAUUUAUAUAUACUAUAUGAAGGUUAUGCAUGUGUCCAGAGAAUUCAGCCCCCUUGUACAUGUGUAUUUUUAAAAACCAGUGUAAAUGAAGUAAUGCAAAAAACCUGUACAAUUUGAUUUGUAUUUAAAGUGUGUGGCCCCUGCUAUGAUGUGUUAUUUAAGAGUCCUAGAGAGAUGAAAGCAGUCUGUGAUGUUUUGUAAGGUGUGAAGCGCUGAAGCGCUGCCUUUAGUGAGCCCGUGCCGCACACACACACACAC